CNAUGCCGCGUGCAGGAAGACUGCCCUAUGGGUUGUAAACUGCUUUUAUACAGGAAGAAACACUGCUACGUGUAGCAGCUUGACGGUACUGUAAGAAUAAGGAUCGGCUAACUCCGUGCCAGCAGCCGCGGUAAUACGGAGGAUCCAAGCGUUAUCCGGAAUCAUUGGGUUUAAAGGGUCCGUAGGUGGAUAAUUAAGUCAGAGGUGAAAUCCUGCAGCUCAACUGUAGAAUUGCCUUUGAUACUGGUUAUCUUGAGUUAUUAUGAAGUAGUUAGAAUAUGUAGUGUAGCGGUGAAAUGCAUAGAUAUUACAUAGAAUACCAAUUGCGAAGGCAGAUUACUAAUAAUAUACUGACACUGAUGGACGAAAGCGUGGGGAGCGAACAGGAUUAGAUNNNUNGGUAGUCCAUCAGUGUCAGUAUAUUAUUAGUAAUCUGCCUUCGCAAUUGGUAUUCUAUGUAAUAUCUAUGCAUUUCACCGCUACACUACAUAUUCUAACUACUUCAUAAUAACUCAAGAUAACCAGUAUCAAAGGCAAUUCUACAGUUGAGCUGCAGGAUUUCACCUCUGACUUAAUUAUCCACCUACGGACCCUUUAAACCCAAUGAUUCCGGAUAACGCUUGGAUCCUCCGUAUUACCGCGGCUGCUGGCACGGAGUUAGCCGAUCCUUAUUCUUACAGUACCGUCAAGCUGCUACACGUAGCAGUGUUUCUUCCUG
rnacentral:rRNA from 1 species